CGUCAUUAAAUUUACAUUUUUGGCACCGAGAUACAGUAUCAAAUAUUGUAUAGGAAUUAUGCUAUAAUAAUGGUAUAGUAGUCUCAAUAAAGUGAAAAAAAGUUGGGAGAUACUUAUUGUGGAUGAAUUAUAAAAUGAGAUUUAUCUCUUUUGAAAAAGUUUUUUUAAAUGCUUGUUUCUAACGUAUAUUUUUAGUUUAUUUUGGGUUUUUACCUAACUUGACCAACGUUUAAAAACUUGUCCUCUUGUAAUCAUCAUGGCUUAAUAUCGGUAAUUACCGGGGUAUUGUAAAAGUGACAUAUUCGGGUAUUCUAACGGCCGACUUCCUGGCAGGCUUGUUUGAUUUAAUACACAAUGAACAAGGUCAAUGAAUCACGUGCGUGAUCGCGAGUUAACCAGGUGUGCACAGGUAAAAUUUAUAAAAAUAUACCAUAUCAAUAUACAACUGUCCGUGAUAUACAGCCUGUGUACAGAAUUUAACAAAAUUUAAGAUUGGUUAUAAGAAUAGGUAUAGACCUGGGAACAGUAUAUAUGUUCCUUGUAUAGACCAAAUCCCCAUGUUAUCUAAUUUCAAUUUUACUUUUAUUUACAUUUCAGCACCUAUUCUUCCGUUUUAUAUAUACAAUUUUCGGUCCCGUUAUUUUUUAAUCAGUUCGUCCCGUUUAUACCCUCACAUAGAUACAUGUAUGUGAUUUCAGAAAACAGUACUAUUUCAAAAUGAAUGCCGUUUUUUUUUAUAAUAGUUCAUUUAUUUUACAUGUGGAAUAAGAAUACCAAUUAGUAAACUUCGGACUAUACAAAUGUAGAAUAUACUGCGCAAGUUUGCUUUCGU
rnacentral:lncRNA from 1 species